rnacentral:rRNA from 1 species
AUGGCAACCUGCUUAUCUGACCUAAUUAGAGACUACUGCCUAGAUUUCAUUGGCAUUCAGGAAACAAUGAAAAAGGACUUUUCCUCUAAAUUCUUGAGGAAAAUUGAUCCUGGACAGUAUUUUGAUUGGAGGUGGAUUCCUUCACUAGGUAAGUCUGGAGGGAUUCUGUGUGGUACUAAGGAGGAUACUUUUGAGGUGAGGUCAUGUGAGACAGGCAAAUAUAUCAUGAAACUGGAAUUAUGGGAUAAGAGGAAAAAAAUGUUGUACUGUAUACUGGUAGUAUAUGGAUCUGCUCAUGAAGAGUAUAAAAUGGAAUUUUUGACCGAAUUGUCUGACGUGUGUGGCAAUAUUACUUGCCCUUACAUUGUAGGGGACUUUAAUAUCCUUAGAUAUGCUAAGGAAAAAAAUAAGAAGACCAGGAUGAGUCAUGCUACUGAUCUCUUUAAUUCCAUCAUUAACACAUUCUGUCUCAGGGAAAUUGACAUAAAUGGUGGUAUAUACACUUGGUCUAAUAAUCAACAUAACCCUACCCUCGAAAAGUUGGACCGUAUACUUAUGUCCAGUUCUUGGGAAAGGCAAUUCCCUUUGACUUUUGUCAGGAAACUGACCAAAGAGAUUUCAGAUCAUAGUCCUUUGAUCCUGAAUACAGAG